AUCACAAUGGAGAUGAUGCUCUCUGAACCCCGCAACCUAAAUAACCUGAUUGCCACUAAACUUGGAGUUCAGAGGAUCACGGGCAUUACUGUGUUUAACAUAAGAGAGAAAAAGUCAUACGACCCUUUGCCAGAUAUGGAGAUUUUUGUGGAUCUCGACUAAUCAAUGCUUAGGUUUUACCGGUUUUGCUUCCCGUCUUGUGUGGGGAUUAUCAAACAUGGAGCAGAUGCCAUGAUCUGUCUCUUCAAUGAGCUUUAAUCAAGUUCAAGUCCUAUUACUGGUGAUAUUUUCCCUCCUCCGGCUUUCGAUGACCUGCUUUAGUAAUCUCUUCCUUCCCUAACCAAGCAUUUGACAGUUUGAUUACAUUUAGGAACUAUUGUAUAGUUGUAAGAUUAGAAUGACCGAAAACGUGCUUCACAUCUAGUUGUGACACGAUGAAACGCACGUAGUCUAUAAGGAAAUUACAGAUUUCUGAUACAAUUGCUUGGAAACUAUUGUUACAU